ensembl:lncRNA
UACGUAAGCUGCCGUUUAACCCGUUUUAAAGAUAACAACUGCAAAGUUAUUUAAGAAUGGGAAUGUUAUUAGUUUGUGUAUUUGGUCAUGGCUUGAAAAUGUGAACCAUUGUAAAGUUAUUUAAUAUUUGAACUGUUUUAAUGUGUUGGCAGAUGACUAUACAUUUACCUCAGUGUUUAUCUCUGGAGUUUUACUUGUGUACAUUAACACUCUGCCUCUCUACACUUACAACUCCACCGUUUGACAACACUUUCUGACAGCAGGAACAAACCAAUUUUUGCUUUGUGUCGAGGUGUUAAUAUUUGUUCUUAUUUCCGACACUCAAACUUCAAAGGCAGUACAAGAUAUUUGAUUGUUUCUCUGUUAUAUUUCUAGUUUUAGUUCAUGACACAGGUCACUUGUAUUGCUUAUACAUUCAAAAAGUCAUUUAUAAGAAGCAUUUUUAAUUUUCCUAAUGUCGUUUAUAAGCACACGUACCUGACCUUCUAAAAUGUGAAUUAUGAAUAACAUUGUUUACAAUGUUACAUAUCAAAUUUAACUCAUCUAAACAUGAAUCGAUCUUUCAUUUUUCACUGACCAGAUUUUCUUUUUAUCCACUUAGUCUACAUUCCCUGUUAGUGUUACAGGCACUUACAGUACGAGUUAUUCUUCAUAACAAUAGCAUAAUUUUUGCAGUGUAGCGUUAUGUCUGUUCUAGAAUGAACUGUUAGCCGAACACUGAACUGUAAAGACAGUUGUUCACUGAACUUUAACACUGUGCAUUAGUGACUAUUGAUCUGCAUGUUCCAAAACAAGUCCGACACUUCUGAUCAACACUAACCAACCCUGUUAAAAGACACCAGACUGAGGCAUGUGUUCUUUUUCUACAUGUAUGUCUAACUAAGCACUUGAAGAGCUUCUGUAGAGACCGUUCGAAACACAGUAACUUUAGCUGUACAAUGUUCCAGUCACACAAGCAGUAGAAUGGCAAGAACAUUUCUGUUGGUGCUGAAUAUUCAUGUGUUUUUUUAUUCUGGAUUUUUCUGUAUGCUUUUCAAUUUUUUAAUAUGAGCUGUGUAUGCACUACAGUUGGACGUAUUAACGUAUUAUGUUUAUCUCAUGAAAAAGUGCAAAUAAACUCCCUUCAACCUCA